AGACCGAUAGCGCACAAGUAGAGUGAUCGAAAGAUGAAAAGCACUUUGGAAAGAGAGUUAAAAAGUACGUGAAAUUGUUGAAAGGGAAGCGCUUGCAACCAGACUUGUCCGCAGUUGCUCAGCCGGUCUCCUGACCGGCGUACUCUUCUGCGGCCAGGCCAGCAUCAGUUCGGGCGGUCGGAUAAAGACCUCGGGAAUGUAGCUCCUCUCGGGGAGUGUUAUAGCCCGGGGUGGAAUGCGGCCAGCCUGGACUGAGGAUCUCGCUUCGGCAAGGAUGCUGGCGUAAUGGUUGUAAGCGGCCCGUCUUGAAACACGGACCAAGGAG
rnacentral:rRNA from 1 species